rnacentral:rRNA from 1 species
GGUAACCUGCCCAUCAGAAGGGGAUACCACUUGGAAACAGGUGCUAAUACCGUAUAACACUAUUUUCCGCAUGGAAGAAAGUUGAAAGGCGCUUUUGCGCCACUGAUGGAUGGACCCGCGGUGCAUUAGCUAGUUGGUGAGGUAACGGCUCACCAAGGCCACGAUGCAUAGCCGACCUGAGAGGGUGAUCGGCCACACUGGGACUGAGACACGGCCCAGACUCCUACGGGAGGCAGCAGUAGGGAAUCUUCGGCAAUGGACGAAAGUCUGACCGAGCAACGCCGCGUGAGUGAAGAAGGUUUUCGGAUCGUAAAACUCUGUUGUUAGAGAAGAACAAGGAUGAGAGUAGAACGUUCAUCCCUUGACGGUAUCUAGCCAGAAAGCCACGGCUAACUACGUGCCAGCAGCCGCGGUAAUACGUAGGUGGCAAGCGUUGUCCGGAUUUAUUGGGCGUAAAGCGAGCGCAGGCGGUUUCUUAAGUCUGAUGUGAAAGCCCCCGGCUCAACCGGGGAGGGUCAUUGGAAACUGGGAGACUUGAGUGCAGAAGAGGAGAGUGGAAUUCCAUGUGUAGCGGUGAAAUGCGUAGAUAUAUGGAGGAACACCAGUGGCGAAGGCGGCUCUCUGGUCUGUAACUGACGCUGAGGCUCGAAAGCGUGGGGAGCGAACAGGAUUGGAUACCCUGGUAGUCCACGCCGUAAAC